rnacentral:rRNA from 1 species
UGGGGAAUAUUGCACAAUGGGCGCAAGCCUGAUGCAGCCAUGCCGCGUGUAUGAAGAAGGCCUUCGGGUUGUAAAGUACUUUCAGCGGGGAGGAAGGUGUUGAGGUUAAUAACCUCAGCAAUUGACGUUACCCGCAGAAGAAGCACCGGCUAACUCCGUGCCAGCAGCCGCGGUACUACGGAGGGUGCAAGCGUUAAUCGGAAUUACUGGGCGUAAAGCGCACGCAGGCGGUCUGUCAAGUCGGAUGUGAAAUCCCCGGGCUCAACCUGGGAACUGCAUUCGAAACUGGCAGGCUAGAGUCUUGUAGAGGGGGGUAGAAUUCCAGGUGUAGCGGUGAAAUGCGUAGAGAUCUGGAGGAAUACCGGUGGCGAAGGUGGCCCCCUGGACAAAGACUGACGCUCAGGUGCGAAAGCGUGGGGAGCAAACA